CCAUAAUGCAAAACCCACAAAAUCAACAAAAGGUCCAGAGAAGAACUACAAAAGGAGAGAAAGCGGAAAAAAGUUAAUGAGAGGGCAAAAUGUGAGGCUGUGUGCUGAUGACCACACCUAUGCCAAAGGAGCCGAGGCACAAAUUGAGGUAGAAAGGAUACCGCCAAUCUUACAGAUGCGGAGGAGAGGAGAUUACCCUCGUUACUACUGUGAUGGCAUACCUGGACUUUGCCCUGAGUGCCAACAUUGAAUUCAAAGAAAAUAAAAGUUGCUUUCCACAAUCUGUCACAUAUUGUUAGUUUUUUUGUGACAUGCCAUUUGAAAUCGUUUCUGAUAAAGAAUAUUUACCUUUUGACUUGUGCAGUCCUCCUUUUUCAUAAUGUGUUCUUUCAAUAUUAUUUACAUUUUUGAAAGUUCCUUUUGUUGUAGCUCAGUUGAUUUACAUCAUUUAGUUUUCAUAGAAAUGGUGUCGUUUCCACAAAGUUACAUUGUGGCUGUAAUUUGUUGGAGAGA